rnacentral:rRNA from 1 species
UGCCAGCCGCCGCGGUAAUACGAAGGUCCCAAGCGUUGUUCGGAAUAACUGGGCGUAAAGCGUGUGUAGGCUGCGCGGAAAGUCAAAUGUGAAAGCCAAGGGCUCAACCUGGGAACUGCAUUCCAAACUGGCAGACUAGAGUAUGGUAGAGGGUGGUAGAAUUUCCUGUGUAGCGGUGAAAUGCGUAGAUAUAAGAAGGAAUACCGAUGGCGAAGGCAGCCACCUGGACCAAUACUGACGCUGAGGUGCGAAAGCGUGGGGAGCAAACAGGAUUAGAUA